rnacentral:misc_RNA from 1 species
GUUUAGCAGGGUCCCGAUAAUGCCACAAUUUGUCAGUUUCAAUACUGAUAACGGAUGAUGUGUUCGCCAUAAGGAGACUAGCAAUUGAAGUUUCAGAUCCAGACCUAUCCACAGCCUGCUCAACAGUAAGUUGAUUUCCUUGCUUGUCCGAGAUAUUAGUUCCACAAGCAUCUCUUUUCCCACUCAUCCUACAUUGAGCCAUGAUAGAGCCCUCUUCUUUAACUAGACUCCCUGAAGAUAUAAGUUUCCUUCUACUAACUCUAGUGCAUCUU